GGGGCUUGAGGUGUUGGUUAAGGUUAGGGGUUGAGGUGUUGGUUGGGGUUAGGGCUUGAGGUAUUGGUUAAUGGUAGGGGUUGAGGUGUUGGUUAAGGUUAGGGGUUGAGGUGUUGGUUAAGGUUAGGGGUUGAGGUGUUGGUUAAGAAUAGGGGUUGAGGUGUUGGUUAAGGUUAGGGGUUGAGGUGUUGGUUAAGGUUAGGGCUUGAGGUGUUGGUUAAGGUUAGGGGUUGAGGUGUUGGUUAAGAAUAGGGGUUGAGGUGUUGGUUGGGGUUAGGGGUUGAGGUGUUGGUUAAGGUUAGGUGUUGAGGUGUUGGUUAAGAAUAGGGGUUGAGGUGUUGGUUAAGGUUAGGGGUUGAGGUGUUGGUUAAGGUUAGGGCUUGAGGUGUUGGUUAAGGUUAGGGCUUGAGGUGUUGGUUUCGGGUUAGGGGUUGAGGUUAG